ensembl:lncRNA
GGGCUCUUGGCCCUUCCACUAUGCCAUGGCCAGAAGUGAACCAUGCCACACAAGUGGCAUCUAUUUGAGCAUAGACUUGAGUCACCGUAGCUUUUCUGAGAAGAAAAGAGGGAACAGUGGGUGUUAGGGCUGCUUAGGAGAAUAUCUUGGAGAAGGCAAUGGCAACCCACUCCAGUACUCUUGCCUGGAAAAUCCCAUGGGCAGAGGAGCCUGUUAGUUAAACCAGUGUGGAACCCUGCUGGUCUCCUGGUGUCCGUGUGUACAUCCCAGAGGAGCCAGGAAUGAGGAUAUCACCACUGAGUGUAACACUUCACCACCGAGUCCUGAACAGUAAAGAACUACAACUUCCGGCAACUUGUAAACAAGAGACAAUUCAGUGAUCAAUCCAGCCUCCCUCCCACAGAAACCUCAGCUCAAGAAGGCCGUCUGAUUUAUAAGUCCAGUGGGCCACAGCCUUAGGGUUUUGGUCGUCUCUACGUCACAUGUUUUGGUGGUCCCAAGUGAGAACGUUAUUCCGGCCAUCAGUGUCCAACAUUCCAGUCUAACCGGAGAGCUCCCUCUUGUGGCUAUCCAAUUUAAAGCAGGUUCUUUAAAUUUCCAGUCCCACCAGUUUUCGUUGUUGUUCAGGAAGUAGCUAAAGGGUGCCUGACUCUGCAUAGACUGUAGCAUGCCAAGCUCUUCUGUCCUCCAUGAUUUCCCAGAAUUUGCUCAAAUUCAUGUCCGUUGAGUCGGUGAUGCUAUUAAUCAUCUCAUCCUCUGCCACCCACUUCUCCUUUUGCCCUCAAUCUUUCCCAGGAUCAGGGUCUUUUCCAAUGAGUCGACUGUUUGCAUCAAGUGGCCAAAGUAUUGGAGCUUCAGCAACAGUCCUUCCAAUAAAUAUUCAGGGUUGAUUUCCCUUAGGAUUGACUGAUUUGAUCUCCUUACAGUCCAAGGGAUUCUCAAGAGUCUUCUCCAGCACCACAGUUCAAAAGCAUACAUUCUUCAGCACUCUGCCUUCUAUAUUGUCCAGCUCUCACAUCUGUACAUGACUACUGGGAAAGCCAUAGCUUUGACGGUACAGACCUUUAUCAGCAAAGUGAUGUCUCUGUUUUUUAAUAUGCUGUCUAGGUUUGUCAUAGC